GUGGUGAGUAACAAAAACUAAUAAAUAUUGUACUGUCUCCAGAAGAAAAUUAAAUAUUUGCUUUGAAGGCAUAGAGAGAAAUGUUUACAAUUACGUGGAUAUUGUAGGCUUUCAUCUGGUGCCCUCUAAUUCUCUAAGCAGUCCUCUCACUUUCAUAGGACUGCUCUGCAUGUGGCCUGUGGCAAGGGCCAUCCGAGAGUGGUGAGACUGCUAACACGUAGACAUUGCCUAUUGAACCUCUGUGACAUUGACAACAAAACGGCUCUCAUUCACGCCAUACAAUAUGACCAAGAGGAAUGUGCAACCAUUCUUCUAGACCAUGGUGCCGAUCCAAAUGUAAUGGACAUCCACGGCAACACUCCUCUUCACUAUGCUGUCCUUGGCCACAAUACAGCAAUAGUGGAAAAGCUACUUUCCUGUAUGGCAAAUAUGGAAGCAAGAAAUAAGGAUGACUUCACACCAUUUUCACUUGCUAAAUAUGAAAACCAAGAGAAAAUGGUGGAAUUUUUAGUAACUAGAGCUUCAAAAAUCAAUCACAUGGAAAGGUAC